GGUAGAAAUCACGAUGGCGGAUAAAUGAGGCACCAGGACUUGGGUGUGAAGAGCUGGAGGAUGAGGGAGGAAAGAAGAAAAAGUCAGAGAGAUUGGAAGUGAAGGAAUCUGUGUGCUAUUGUUUACUUUGAAGAUGAAAGAGACCAGUAUAAAGAAAUAAAGUUUAGAAGCAGAGAGUGGCCUCCAAUGACAACCAGCAAGAAAAUGGGACCUCAGCCAUAAGAUACCAGAUUCUACCAACAACCCAAAUGAAGAGACAGAUUCUUUCAGAGAGCCUCCAGAAAAGAGCCCAGUCUGGCCAACACUUUGAUUUUGACCUUGUGAAACUCUAAGCAAAGAGCCCAGCUGGGCUACCCAGACUUUUGACCUACAGAACUAUGAGCUAAUAAAUGAAUAUUGUUUUGAGCUACUAAGUUCGUGGUGACUUGUUAUUUAGCAAUAGAAAACUAAUAUAAAUUGGGUGUCUGGGUGGCUCAGUUAAGCAUCUGACUCUUGAUUUUGGCUCAUGUCAUGAUCUUAUGGUUCAUGAAUUCGAGCUUCACAAAGG